UACAGAGGGGCAAGCGUUGUUCGGAAUUACUGGGCGUAAAGGGCGCGUAGGCGGCCUUCUAAGUCGAACGUGAAAUCCCCGGGCUCAACCCGGGAACUGCGUCCGAUACUGGAAGGCUUGAAUCCGGGAGAGGGAUGCGGAAUUCCAGGUGUAGCGGUGAAAUGCGUAGAUAUCUGGAGGAACACCGGUGGCGAAGGCGGCAUCCUGGACCGGCAUUGACGCUGAGGCGCGAAAGCCAGGGGAGCAAAGCGGGAU
rnacentral:rRNA from 1 species